rnacentral:rRNA from 1 species
GCUUGUCUCAAAGAUUAAGCCAUGCAUGUUCAAGUAUAGCAAGUGUACAGUGAAACUGCGAAUGGCUCAUUAAAUCAGUUAUAGUUUAUUUGGUAAUCGAAUUUACAUGGAUAACCGUGGUAAUUCUAGAGCUAAUACAUGCUGUAAAGCCCGACUUUUCGGAAGGGCCGUAUUUAUUAGAUAACAGACCAAUAUUCCUCGUGUCUAUUGUGGUGAAUCAUAGUAACUAAUCGGAUCGCAUGGGCUAGUCCCGCGACAAACCAUUCAAGUUUCUGCCCCAUCAGCUUUCGAUGGUAGUGUAUUGGACUACCAUGGCUUUUACGGGUAACGGAGGAUUAGGGUUCGAUUCCGGAGAGGGAGCCUGAGAAACGGCUACCACAUCUAAGGAAGGCAGCAGG